rnacentral:rRNA from 1 species
UGAUUACCGCUAUCGGAGUUCGAUUAAGCCAUGCGAGUCGAUCGGGUUAGACCCGAGGCGAACCGCUCAGCAACACGUGGAGAAUCUACCCUUAGGUGGAGGACAACCUCGGAAAACUGAGGAUAAUCCACCAUAGAUCUGGGAUGCUGGAACGCACUCAGAUCAAAAGCUCCGGCGCCUAAGGAUGACUCUGCGGCCUAUCAGGUUGUAGUUGGGGUAAAGGCCCAACUAGCCGGCGACGGGUACGGGUUGUAAAAGCAUGAGCCCGGAGAUGGAUUCUGAGACACGAAUCCAGGCCCUACGGGGCGCAGCAGGCGCGAAAACUCCGCAAUGUGCGCAAGUACGACGGGGGAACUCUGAGUGUCAAUGCCAUGCAUUGACUGUUUCUAAUCCUAAAAAGCUUAGAGAGUAAGGGCUGGGUAAGACGAGUGCCAGCCGCCGCGGUAACACUCGCAGCCCAAGUGGUAAUCGUUAUUAUUGAGCCUAAAAUGUUCGUAGCUGGUUUGCUAAAUGCAUAGAUAAAACGAAGGGCUUAACUUUUCGAUUUCUAUGCAGACUAGCAGACUUGAGAUCGGGAGAGGUCAGAGGUACUCUAAGGGGAGGAGUGAAAUCCUAUAAUCCUUAGGGGACCAACAGCGGCGAAGGCGUCUGACUAGAACGAGUCUGACAGUGAGGGACGAAGCCCUGGGGCGCAAACGGGAUUAGAUACCCCGGUAGUCCAGGGUGUAAACGCUGCCUGCUUAGUGUUAGACAUUCUUUAUGGGUGUCUAGUGCUGGAGAGAAGUUGUUAAGCAGGCUGCUUGGGGAGUAUGGUCGCAAGGCUGAAACUUAAAGGAAUUGGCGGGGGAGCACCGCAACGGGAGGAGCGUGCGGUUU